rnacentral:rRNA from 1 species
CCAAGGAGUCUAGCGUGUGCGCGAGUCAUUGGGAUAACACUAAACCUAAAGGCGUAAUGAAAGUAAAAGUUCGUCUAGCGCGAACCGAGGGAAGACGGUCGGUCCUAUUCCGGACUGGCCCGCAUUCCCGGGGCGUCUCGUUCUCAUUGCGAGAAGAGGCGCACCAAGAGCGUACACGCUGGGACCCGAAAGAUGGUGAACUAUGCCUGGUCAGGACGAAGUCAGGGGAAACCCUGAUGGAGGUCCGUAGCGAUUCUGACGUGCAAAUCGAUCGUCGGAACUGGGUAUAGCGGCGAAAGACCAAUCGACCCAUC